UCCCAUUUAGCUCAGCUGGUAGAGCGCGUCACUAGUAAUGACCGAGGUCAGUCGUUCGAGUCGGCUAAAAUGGGAA
rnacentral:tRNA from 1 species